GACGAACGCUGGCGGCGUGCUUAACACAUGCAAGUCGAACGGAAAGGCCCUGCUUUUGUGGGGUGCUCGAGUGGCGAACGGGUGAGUAACCCGUGAGUAACCUGCCCUUGACUUUGGGAUAACUCCAGGAAACUGGGGCUAAUAACGGAUAGGAGCUCCUGCUGCAUGGGGGGGGUUGGAAAGUUUCGGCGGUUGGGGAUGGACUCGCGGCUUAUCAGCUUGUUGGUGGGGUAGUGGCUUACCAAGGCUUUGACGGGUAGCCGGCCUGAGAGGGUGACCGGCCACAUUGGGACUGAGAUACGGCCCAGACUCCUACGGGAGGCAGCAGUGGGGAAUAUUGCACAAUGGGCGGAAGCCUGAUGCAGCAACGCCGCGUGCGGGAUGACGGCCUUCGGGUUGUAAACCGCUUUCGCCUGUGACGAAGCGUGAGUGACGGUAAUGGGUAAAGAAGCACCGGCUAACUACGUG
rnacentral:rRNA from 1 species